rnacentral:rRNA from 1 species
UACGUAGGGGGCUAGCGUUGUCCGGAAUCAUUGGGCGUAAAGCGCGUGUAGGCGGUUCGGUAAGUCCGCUGUGAAAGUCGGGGGCUCAACCCUCGAAUGCCGGUGGAUACUGUCGGACUAGAGUACGGAAGAGGCGAGUGGAAUUCCUGGUGUAGCGGUGAAAUGCGCAGAUAUCAGGAGGAACACCAAUUGCGAAGGCGGGUCUCUGGGCCGAUACUGACGCUGAGGAGCGAAAGCGUGGGGAGCGAACAGG